rnacentral:rRNA from 1 species
AUUGAACGCUGGCGGCAGGCCUAACACAUGCAAGUCGAGCGGUAGCACAGAGAGCUUGCUCUCGGGUGACGAGCGGCGGACGGGUGAGUAAUGUCUGGGAAACUGCCUGAUGGAGGGGGAUAACUACUGGAAACGGUAGCUAAUACCGCAUAACGUCGCAAGACCAAAGUGGGGGACCUUCGGGCCUCAUGCCAUCAGAUGUGCCCAGAUGGGAUUAGCUAGUAGGUGGGGUAAUGGCUCACCUAGGCGACGAUCCCUAGCUGGUCUGAGAGGAUGACCAGCCACACUGGAACUGAGACACGGUCCAGACUCCUACGGGAGGCAGCAGUGGGGAAUAUUGCACAAUGGGCGCAAGCCUGAUGCAGCCAUGCCGCGUGUGUGAAGAAGGCCUUCGGGUUGUAAAGCACUUUCAGCGGGGAGGAAGGCGAUAAGGUUAAUAACCUUGUCGAUUGACGUUACCCGCAGAAGAAGCACCGGCUAACUCCGUGCCAGCAGCCGCGGUAAUACGGAGGGUGCAAGCGUUAAUCGGAAUUACUGGGCGUAAAGCGCACGCAGGCGGUCUGUCAAGUCGGAUGUGAAAUCCCCGGGCUCAACCUGGGAACUGCAUUCGAAACUGGCAGGCUAGAGUCUUGUAGAGGGGGGUAGAAUUCCAGGUGUAGCGGUGAAAUGCGUAGAGAUCUGGAGGAAUACCGGUGGCGAAGGCGGCCCCCUGGACAAAGACUGACGCUCAGGUGCGAAAGCGUGGGGAGCAAACAGGAUUAGAUACCCUGGUAGUCCACGCCGUAAACGAUGUCGAUUUGGAGGUUGUGCCCUUGAGGCGUGGCUUCCGGAGCUAACGCGUUAAAUCGACCGCCUGGGGAGUACGGCCGCAAGGUUAAAACUCAAAUGAAUUGACGGGGGCCCGCACAAGCGGUGGAGCAUGUGGUUUAAUUCGAUGCAACGCGAAGAACCUUACCUGGUCUUGACAUCCACAGAACUUUCCAGAGAUGGAUUGGUGCCUUCGGGAACUGUGAGACAGGUGCUGCAUGGCUGUCGUCAGCUCGUGUUGUGAAAUGUUGGGUUAAGUCCCGCAACGAGCGCAACCCUUAUCCUUUGUUGCCAGCGGUUAGGCCGGGAACUCAAAGGAGACUGCCAGUGAUAAACUGGAGGAAGGUGGGGAUGACGUCAAGUCAUCAUGGCCCUUACGACCAGGGCUACACACGUGCUACAAUGGCAUAUACAAAGAGAAGCGACCUCGCGAGAGCAAGCGGACCUCAUAAAGUAUGUCGUAGUCCGGAUUGGAGUCUGCAACUCGACUCCAUGAAGUCGGAAUCGCUAGUAAUCGUAGAUCAGAAUGCUACGGUGAAUACGUUCCCGGGCCUUGUACACACCGCCCGUCACACCAUGGGAGUGGGUUACAAAAGAAGUAGGUAGCUUAACCUUCGGGAGGGCGCUUACCACUUUGUGAUUCAUGACUGGGGUG